rnacentral:rRNA from 1 species
CGGGAACAGCUUAAAUUUGAAAUCUGGCUUUCGGGUCCGAAUUGUAAUUUGCAGAGGAUGCUUUUGGCGAGGUGCCUUCCGAGUUCCCUGGAACGGGACGCCUUAGAGGGUGAGAGCCCCGUACGGUUGGACACCAAGCCUCUGUAAAGCUCCUUCGAC